CACGGCCCAGACUCCUACGGGAGGCAGCAGUAGGGAAUCUUCCGCAAUGGACGAAAGUCUGACGGAGCAACGCCGCGUGAGUGAUGAAGGUUUUCGGAUCGUAAAGCUCUGUUGUUAGGGAAGAACAAGUACCGUUCGAAUAGGGCGGUACCUUGACGGUACCUAACCAGAAAGCCACGGCUAACUACGUGCCAGCAGCCGCGGUAAUACGUAGGUGGCAAGCGUUGUCCGGAAUUAUUGGGCGUAAAGGGCUCGCAGGCGGUUUCUUAAGUCUGAUGUGAAAGCCCCCGGCUCAACCGGGGAGGGUCAUUGGAAACUGGGGAACUUGAGUGCAGAAGAGGAGAGUGGAAUUCCACGUGUAGCGGUGAAAUGCGUAGAGAUGUGGAGGAACACCAGUGGCGAAGGCGACUCUCUGGUCUGUAACUGACGCUGAGGAGCGAAAGCGUGGGGAGCGAACAGGAUUAGAUACCCUGGUAGUCCACGCCGUAAACGAUGAGUGCUAAGUGUUAGGGGGUUUCCGCCCCUUAGUGCUGCAGCUAACGCAUUAAGCACUCCGCCUGGGGAGUACGGUCGCAAGACUGAAACUCAAGGAAUUGACGGGGGCCCGCACAAGCGGUGGAGCAUGUGGUUUAUUUCGAAGCACGCGAAGAACCUUACCAGGUCUGACAUCCUCUGACAUCCUAAGAGAUAGGACGUCCCCUUCGGGGCAGAGUGACAGGUGGUGCAUGUUGUCGUCAGCUCGUGUCUUGAAGAAUGUGGGU
rnacentral:rRNA from 1 species